GCAAUUGAUUUCCAAUAGUGAUCUCAUGAUUUGGACACUUCUUUGUUGUUAUGGGCCUAAUUAUAGGGUAGUCAUAGAGAUUCCUACCUUAUAUAGUUUCCUAAUAUAAAUCUCUAACAUUAUAUACAUAUAUAUCUGUGUGUGUGUGUGUGUGUGUGUGUCGUCUUCUUUAUGUUUCUUCCUUAAAUUCUUACAUGGUAUCAGAAUCAAUAGAAAGUCUUGAACUUGUGGUCUCCUCGUGAGUUUCCAGUUGUCGUCUUUGGUCAGAGAAUUCUACAUCGUGGUCGGCAGCUGUGUUGAUCUUCUGUGUGUCGAAAUCGGAGCCUUAGCUCGGCGUCGCGCCCUCUCAGUUUUAUUUGAGUUCAGUAGAUUUCUGGGAUUGGAGCUGGGUUUCGGCAGGUGUUUACGGAUUCGCUGGAGUUGGGUCUGGAUCACGACAAUUUCUUUCCGGCGUUGUCCUUCGUGUCCUCGUCAUCGUGGGCGUUUGUCUGAAUCGUGUUCAGUGGCAUUUGAUUGAUCUUCUCUUAGGUUUUUGUUGUUGGGCUUAGGGAAUUUGAAUAUUUUUGGUUAUUGUUAUUGGGCCAUUAUUGUGCUGACUAUUGGAAUGAAUUAUUUGGGUUAUUUAAUUAGAAUUUUGGCAGCCUAUUAGAACACUUGGGC
rnacentral:lncRNA from 1 species